rnacentral:rRNA from 1 species
AUGUCCGGGCAACCCACAUCAGAGGCACACAACCUUGUUCGUGCAGUCCUUCAGGAAAACUCCUUGCGGCCGGGCGAAGGGCGCCGGGAAAUCUCCACCGACGGCCGCUCCUCGAGGCGGCGCUUCCAAAGCGUCCUCUUAGAUGCAGGCGCUUCCUGCCACGGCGAGAUCCGCCGCGACGGGCCACCCACAAGACCCUCCUCCGGCCGAGCCGCAGGGGCCCCGCCCCCAGCUGAGCUCUCCGACGCCGACGCCGACGCCGACGAGAGGCCAAGGCCAGAGACGGCCGGCCGCUGCUCGCCCUGGAAGGCCGAGGUGACGGAACAUGGAUUGGAUCCAUGGCGCGCACGGGGGAAGGGGGCACGCGGGAGAAGAGGAGCGCACCGUGCGCGGAAGAGCAGGGCGGAUGGCCGCCGGAGCCGGAGCGGCUGGCAGCGGUGUGGUGGACGCCGGCGUCGGAGUAACGCACGGCAGGGCGGCUGGGCUGCUCUCUCGCUGCGCUCGCCUUCACGUGUUAUCAGAUGCUGGGCCGGAUGUGAGCAACGCGAACCUCCCUCUCGUUCGUUGCCUCUCCUCCCCCAUCUUUUCCGCCGCCGCCCCUUGGCAGCAAGACCGCAAUGGCGCGGUGGGCGGUGCCCUUCCCCUGCUAAUCCGCCGGUCGGGUUCUCGGGCAAAGGGGGUAUGGUCGGUAGCAGCGCCAGGGUCGGCUGGUCGUCGGGCGGCAAGGGCGUCGCCAAGCAGUACUACCUCCAGGGCAGGAGCCCAGAGGCCGUGCCCCCGGUCGACGGCCGCCUCACCCUGGUCAGGAACAAGACCUUCGCCGUGUCCAAGUCCGGCCGGCUCUACCUGGCCUUCGAGCUCAGCACCGCCCGCCCGCAGCCGUACCUUAUCUAG